rnacentral:rRNA from 1 species
CAGCCGCCGCGGUAAUACGAAGGGGGCUAGCGUUGUUCGGACUUACUGGGCGUAAAGGGCGCGUAGGCGGGCGAAUAAGUCAGGGGUGAAAUCCCAAGGCUCAACCUUGGAACUGCCUUUGAUACUGUUUGUCUUGAGUUCGAGAGAGGUAAGUGGAACUGCGAGUGUAGAGGUGAAAUGCGUAGAUAUUCGGAAGAACACCAGUGGCGAAGGCGGCUCACUGGACGACUGUUGACGCUGAGGUGCGAAAGCGUGGGGAGCAAACAGGAUUAGAUACCCCUGUAGUCCCUGUCUCUUAUAC